UCCAUCUCGUCCACUCCUUGACCGCCGCCCUCCACCUUCCUCACACCGCCGCCACCGCUCUCCACCUUCCUCACGCCGCCGCCGCCACCGCCCUCCUUCACAUAAAUGGUUCCAUCGCCGCUCGCCGUCAUUCCUCCUACCUCCACGGCCGCUCUUCUAUCACCUCCUCCACCGUGGCCCGGGUCAAUCUACGACAGCCAGCGCCGUCCGGCUUCCAUCUCCCCCACCGCCAGUCGCCUCUGCCUCCACCUCCACCUCCGUCCGCUGCGGCGACCCACCUCCCUCGGCUCACCGCCUACCACCCGACCCCAACAUGACCGCCGUGUACGCGUUGCUUGUACCCCGUGCUCCCUGCUCCAGAUCCGGGUUAGUCCCCGUCGCAUAUCGAGCAAGCCGCCGCCUCCUCCCCUGACACGACGACAGUCCACUCCUCAUCUCCUUGUGCAAGCAAAAUCAUACAUGGUCAAGGCUAAAUGUUCGGGUGCUCCAUUUUUCUAUGGUAACUGGUAAGUCUCAACCAUUGUCAAGCAAAAAAGAAGUCAGGAUCUCUAGUUUUUCAUACAAUUUACUCCCUCCGUUCCUAAAUAUUUGUCUUUCUAGACAUUUCAAAUGAACACCACAUACGGAUGUAUGUAGACAUAUUUUAAAGUGUAGAUUCAUUCAUUUUGCUCCGUAUGUAGUCACUUGUUGAAAUGCCUAGAAAGACAAAUAUUUAGGAACGGAGGGAGUAUUAUGCAGAAUGUAUAUCUCGUGACUGCAGGAUCUUGGUCAAUUAUUUAGUCUGUUAUCAUUUUGCACGAAACUGCUUUUCUCUGUUGUAUCCCAAAAAUUGAGAGGCUACUAUUAGGUGUGUUAUUAGCACUCCUACUUUUUGUCAAUGAAAAACAGAGAAGGUUGUUGUUCGUGUAAUUUGUAUGGUUGGUAGAUGCGUCAAAUAUUUAUUCCUUUGCUUGAUUUGUAGUAGCUUGAAUCUGCUGUAUCAUCGAAUCGUGUUGAAGAUGUAGCCCACAUAUACAAUCUCUAGGUAUCGCAUCCUUUGACAAAUCAUUUUGGCGUCUCAUGUAGGUAUUACUUCACAUCUUUAUAAAUCUUCGUGGUGUAAGGAAGCCAUAUAUCAGAGAUGCAGUGAAGAGCAAGGCAAAACGUAUCUCAGGAACCAUUACAUGAUUUCCCGGCAAACAUAUGGUUAUUGAUUUCUGCCCCAAUAACAUACUGUUAUAUUCAGAAUAUGUUCGUGUCUGAAUAAUCUAAGAAUCGAUACAAGUGUCCGCUUAGAUUGUGUUUCUUACUCAACAAAGACUUGGAGAAUAAUGCAUGGAAGCAAAGGCUGGAUAUAUAGCUCUGGAGCGAGUAUCUAAACAUUGUAGGGGAACACUAAUUCAUCCCAUGUUAGCUUGGAGGACGACACUAUGGAUGACCACAUCGGUAAUGUCAACACUGGAGCAAUGAUGGUGAGAAUAUUGAUUAUAACAACUGUACAUCUGGAGGAGCAUCUCGCUAGUCCACCUGCACUUGGAACUAAUGAAUGACUAUCUUAUGGUAUUUUGGAUCUCUCUGGUGGUAGUACAUGCUCAUUAGCAAACUUAAUUAGGUGCUUACUAUUUGCUGCAAUUUGAUGGAUCCGAAAUAGUGAAGUGAUAUGUACGUAGGUGAUGCUCCUUAUCAUGAACCUGGGUGACUUAGAAAUGUGUGUAUUUUGUUGUCAUUGCUCUGUGCGAUGUGAUGGAUGAGAACCAGAUUAAUGUCAUGUAUGUGUAGAAUUGUUGUUGCUUUUGACCAAGUGCAUGUACAGCUUUUGAUAUGUCAAUUGCUGCUGGAUGUUGAAUCAUGGUUU